GUUGUUUGUUACCACAGCAGUAGGAAACCAAUAUAUUCAGUGAAAUUUUGCAUUUUUCAUAUAUAUCUUGCCUAUGUCUUGCUAGGUAUAUUCUGACAUAUAUGAUGUACUGUGAAUAGAAUCCUUUCAUUAUAUGUUGGCAUUGUUUUAAGUGUUUCAACAAGUAAAUAAUACCUAGAAUUAAAUGAAUCAUAUCUAAUUUACUUAAAUCCAAAAUGAAGGGUUCCCCUCCCCCUGCUAUGUAAAUUUCAUCCUUUUACAUUUAUUAGAGCAACUGUAAUGUUGAAAUAUAGAGGUAGGCCCCUUAUGUUCAAUGCAAUGUUGGCCUUAUCGCUUCCAUCGGUGCCUAUUUUUUAUUUAUUUAUUAAUUGAUUGAUUGAUUGAUACUGGGGAUUGAACUCAGGGGCACUCAACCAUGGAACCACAUCCCCAGCCCUAUUUGGUAUUUUAUUAGAGACAGGGUCUCACUGAGUUGCUUAGCGCCUCACCAUUGCUAAGGCUGGCUUUGAACCUGCGAUUCUCCCUUCUCAGCCUCCCAAGCUGCUGGGAUUACAGGUGUGUGCCACCCCACCUGGCUGGUGUCUAUUAUUAUUAUACUUUGUGUUUUUCACUUUUCCAUUUUAUUUUGCCUGAAAAAGUAUCUCUUCUUUCUUCCCAUUGUUCAUUUAGAAGCUCUGCAAUGCGUUGUCAUGCCAUUAUAUCAAGCCAUUAAUGGUUAUCAUUCAAUCUCUACCAAACAUACUUAAACUUGUUUUUCCUCCCCUCCUUUUGUUGUAGGGACAGAUGAGGUACGGCACUGAAGAUCGAAGGAAACAGUUUUAUUUGGCUACAGCCAGGUUCAGAGGGCACAACUUUUGCUGUAAUCAAUUAAUCCCCUGAACCCCAAGUUCAGGUAGAUUCAGAGUUUUAUCCCCAGCAUGUAAGGGGAAGGGCUCAGAAGUUCACAGUCUACAGAAGUUCACAUAAAAGCAGCUUUUUCUUUCACUGUUUUGGACAAGUUAACCCUUCAAGGACAACACCUGAGAAGGGGAGAGCUGCUUCUCCCCUUUCUUUCCUCCCCCUGCCAGCUGUUACCAUGGACCCAAUUGUAACUUAUCUUAAAAAUGUAGACAGCUCUGUGAAGCCCAGCUCAAGGCCAGAGGCCUUGUUUGCACAUUUCUAAAAACUACUCUACUGGAUAUGUUUGUGAAAAACUAGUAAGGGGGUGUCCAGCACCUGGAGUGCUGGUAUCUUCUCGGCCAGUAGUCAAGUAAAACAGGGCAACACAAAAAUAGGAAGUUUAUCUACACUGAACUGUUUUGCAAAGACUCUUUUGCCACAGUCCCCAAAUCUGCCAUGGUGAAGAUUCCUUGAGAAGCCCAGUUAAGACUUUUUUGUGGAGAAAGGGAGUGCCACUACACUUUUACAAAUAUUGAUAGAAUGUUUAUCGUAUUGGAUACUGUUGGAUAGGUGAAGAAAAUUUUAUAGUCAUCCCUUAUCUAACCAAAAUUAAGUUUUUUAAACUAAAAGUUUAAUGAAAACAGUUUUGACAAGAAAUUUUGUUUUGUUUUGCCUAGGGAUUGAACCCAGAGGCAUUUAAUCACUAAGCCACAUCCCCAGCCCUUUUUAUUUUUUAUUUUGAGACAGGAUCUCACUAAAUUACUUAGGGCCUCAUUAAGUUACUGAGGCUGUCUUUGAACUUAUGAUCCUCCUGCUUCAGCCUCCCAAGCUGUUAGGAUUACAAGUGUGCGCCAUCACACCCUGCCAUCAUUUUUUCUUUUUUUUCUGGUUACCAGGGAUUGAAUUCAGGGCCACUCAACCACUGAGCCACAUCCCCAGCCCUAUUGUGUAUUUUAUUUAGAGACAGGGUCUCAUUGAGGUGCUUAGCACCUCACUUGCUGAGGCUGGCUUUGAACUCAU
rnacentral:lncRNA from 1 species